rnacentral:rRNA from 1 species
GACGAACGCUGGCGGCGUGCUUAACAUAUGCGAGUCGAACGGUAAGGCCCUUCGGCGUACACGAGUGGCGAACGGGUGAGAAACACGUGGGACACCUGGCCUGCAAUUCCGGAUACGCCUGGCAAACUGGCUCUCAUACCGGAGAUGCCCACUGCCUGCAUGGGUGGUGGUGGAAAGCUUUUGCGGUGUGGGAUGGGCCCGCGGCCGAUCAGCUUGUUGGUGGGGUGAAGGCCUACCAAGGCGACGACGGGUAGCCGGCCUGAGAGGGUGACCGGCAACACUGGGACUGAGAUACGGCCCAGACUCCUACGGGAGGCAGCAGUGGGGAAUAUUGCACAAUGGGCGCAAGCCUGAUGCAGCGACGCCGCGUGAGGGAUGACGGCCUUCGGGUUGUAAACCUCUUUCAGCACCGACGAAGCGCAAGUGACGGUAGGUGCAGAAGAAGGACCGGCCAACUACGUGCCAGCCGCCGCGGUAA